AGCUUACCUCGGCUCAAAUUCAGCUUGAAAUUAAUUUUAAGCUUAAAUUUAAGCUCAAGCUUGGAUUAAAAUUAAUUUGAGCUGAGCUCGAGUGAGCCUAAUCGAGUCGAGCGAGCUCAAGCCCUAAACGAGCCGCUUGAAAUUCUCAACAUCAUAUGAUUAAUAGUUUAAUUUGUAUAGAACAUUAUCUAUAAUUUGAUACAAAAAUAUAUCUAAUAGCUCAAAGUACAAAAUAAUUAUAUAAAAUAUAGUAUUAUAAUAUGAAAAAAAUAAUUUAUGAGUUGAAUAUCUAAUCUUUUCAGUCUCACAUGUCUUUUUUUCCGCCUUCAAUCUCUAUAUUAUUCAUUUUUAUUUAUACAGUCAAAAAUAAAUAAAUUAUAUAGAUAAAUAUUUGAUUAAACUAUCCAAUUAUAUAUAACAAAAAUUAAAAUUUUAUAUGAAUAAUAAUUUUUUACUUUAAAAAUAUUCUAUAUAUUUUCUUAAACAUACAAUUAAUAGCAAGAUAGGCAACGACAGGCAUAUGCUGUUACUUGGUAACUUGGAGAGCUUCCGGCUUGGCCGCUUAGGGUGAGAGACAGAAAAAAAAGAAAGAGAGAAACAUAUUGAAAAUUUAGAGUUUUGUGAAAGAAAGAAAGAAAGAAAAAAUAUAUAAAUUUAGUGAAAUUUUGCUCUUUUAUUUGUCUAUUGGGUUUGUUUUUAUGGGCCAACAACAUUGCCCAAUUUUAACUAAACUCAGAUUAUAUUCACUCAGCCUAUAUAUAAUUAAAAUAU
rnacentral:lncRNA from 1 species